CAAGGAAUAGUUUAAGUAGAAUUUCAGCUUUGGGUGUUGAUGGUGGAGCU
rnacentral:tRNA from 1 species